ACGUUUAGGCUUCGUUUCCGCUUGGAGAGCCGAGGCGACGUCGUAAAAUCCUGGAAACGAAUUUGAAGCAUCGUGACAAGAAACCGAAGACCUUUAAUUUACGGAUCGCAAAUCGGUGGUCAUUUGACGGUCGCUUGUGAGUGGGGUCGAGCCGUGCGGCGUGCGCCGCGGGAGGCCGAUUGCGAGUGACGACGAGCAAUCGGAACGCGAUAAAAGGUGGGUGGUGUCCAUCCCGAAGCAACCGGACUUCCUUCUAUGUCUAAGUUUUAUAUUGAUCAAAUUGCAUAUUGACAUCUUGCAUUAUAGGGUGAUAAAUGAUGGUUUGGUCCUAUACCUUGCAUGUUCUUUGGUAGAAUAAUGUAUUUGGCUUANNNNNNNNNNNNNNNNNNNNNNNNNNNNNNNNNNNNNNNNNNNNNNNNNNNNNNNNNNNNNNNNNNNNNNNNNNNNNNNNNNNNNNNNNNNNNNNNNNNNNNNNNNNNNNNNNNNNNNNNNNNNNNNNNNNNNNNNNNNNNNNNNNNNNNNNNNNNNNNNNNNNNNNNNNNNNNNNNNNNNNNNNNNNNNNNNNNNNNNNNNNNNNNNNNNNNNNNNNNNNNNNNNNNNNNNNNNNNNNNNNNNNNNNNNNNNNNNNNNNNNNNNNNNNNNNNNNNNNNNNNNNNNNNNNNNNNNNNNNNNNNNNNNNNNNNNNNNNNNNNNNNNNNNNNNNNNNNNNNNNNNNNNNNNNNNNNNNNNNNNNNNNNNNNNNNNNNNNNNNNNNNNNNNNNNNNNNNNNNNNNNNNNNNNNNNNNNNNNNNNNNNNNNNNNNNNNNNNNNNNNNNNNNNNNNNNNNNNNNNNNNNNNNNNNNNNNNNNNNNNNNNNNNNNNNNNNNNNNNNNNNNNNNNNNNNNNNNNNNNNNNNNNNNNNNNNNNNNNNNNNNNNNNNNNNNNNNNNNNNNNNNNNNNNNNNNNNNNNNNNNNNNNNNNNNNNNNNNNNNNNNNNNNNNNNNNNNNNNNNNNNNNNNNNNNNNNNNNNNNNNNNNNNNNNNNNNNNNNNNNNNNNNNNNNNNNNNNNNNNNNNNNNNNNNNNNNNNNNNNNNNNNNNNNNNNNNNNNNNNNNNNNNNNNNNNNNNAUAUAUAUAUAGUUGGGCGAGAAUACUAUAUAUAGGAAAAUGCUCAUUUUGCUAACAAGUUUUUAGCCUUUGUGUAAUAUACCGAACUCCUACAAUUAUGAAGUUUCGGUGGGAACUAGCUCGAAAGGUUGUUAGAAUAGUUCCGGUGAGAUUCGGGGAGCAUUCGAGUGUUUUAGGUGCGAGUUAGGCAUGAAACUCGAAAAGCUAUGUUUGGACUUUGGACUAAAUCUGGCAAAGUACAGAUGAGAAGAUGGUUUAAACACACUAAAAAAUGUAUUUUGAGGGUUUUGGAAUGGUUGGAAGUGGAUUAGGGGCUUUAGGAGCGAAAACGAAGAAAUUCGAAAAAUGCUAAAUUUUCGGGGCUGUUUGGACCUACGGGGUCCGGACCCUAGAGCCAGGGUUCGGACCCUAUAUGCGAAAUCAGCCCAGUGAAGGGGGCAUUUUGGUAAUUUGAGAGGUGGGACUUUAUAAGCGGCCAUCUGUAAGGUACCGGACUUCGAAAAUCAUGAGGUUACGGUGUACGUUCGAUUGGAAAGCCAUNCUGGAAUGAAUGUAAGCUAAUGUUUAUAUUUUGGAAGAUGUAAGCUUUAUAUUAUGUUUAGAAGCUUAAUGUAUAAUCAAAUUGUAUUAUAAAGGCUGAAUGAAUGUAAUAGAUAGAUGUUCCUCUCUUUAUCAUUACUUGUAUGUUCUAUACUUGUAUCUUGCUCUUGGUUGUUUGCACUGAUUAUGCUCUCGUUGUAGUUAUCGAUUGUGUAUGUAUUCAAGUUAUUUUCCUGGGAACUUGUUGUACACAAUCUCGUUGUUAGCCUUGGGCGGAUAGGGGAGGUACUGUCCGUCCGGCGUCUGUUCGACGCGCCCGGGCCGAGCCAAAUUGUUAGCGGUCGCGGGGCGUGACACCAUCCCUCCUCCUUCUUCUUCCUCCUUCCACAACCAACCCACACACACACACAUAGGGUAGAGAGAGAAACUCUCUCUUUCUAGUCUCCUCUCUUUCCUUCUCUAGAUCUCUCUCCCAAACUUGGGGUUUUGGUGGAGGAGGAGCUCGGGAACGCAUGGGGAGCGGUGGAUCGAACCCUCGGGUGCUCGGUGUUGCGGCGUGCUUCCGACUCGAGGUUCGCAUUUGGUUAAAAGUUUAGGAUUUUGGUUAAAUCCUUUAUGUAUGAUGUUCUAGAGAUCCUUAGACUAUUCUAAGCUAGUUAAUCAUGUUUCUCCAUGAAUCAUUGGGGUAUUUGGAGAAAUGAGAAAGCUAGGGUUAUAAUUGGAGGUUUUUGGGGUUUUAGGGUUUUGAUCUAGUUUGACCCUAUGGUUCUCUAAUUGAAGGUUAGAGAUGAGCCCCAGACAACUCUAGGUUGGAAACCGGUGAGCGUUCGGCGGUCGAUUGCCAGUUUGAGCCGAACCGGAUGACGUGUGUCGCGGGAGCCCGAUUGCAAGUGUCUAUAAGUAAUCAGAGUUAUUGUUAGGUGGGUUGUGCUUCACCGAAGUGACUAGGUCGCUUCCAUGACAAAGUGAAGUAUGAAUUUAUUGUUGAUGCAUGCAUGUAAUGAUAGAUUAACUGGUUAAAUAAGUAGACAUAAAUUGUAUGCUACUUAGGAUAAAUAAUCUAUCCUUGGACAAGAACAUAGGCAGGUGAAACAUAUAGGAUAUAUAUAUGUAUGCCUAAAUAUGGUUAGUAAAUAUAGGUCGAUGAACUCUAGGAAGAAUAGAGAACUCGACAGUUGGAAAACAAGAACUAGAUGUCAUGAAUCGUAGGUGUGGACAACUAGGAUAACGAGUGGCAUGGUUGGACUUUGAACCUAGUGUUAUUAAACAUAGGUGGACAUUGAACUUAGUGUUAUUAAAUAUAGGUUGGACAUUGGACCUAGUGUUGUAGAACCUAGGUGAUGGAACAUAGUGGUAGAAAAACCACUAGGGUAUGAAUGACUUGAACCUAGAAAGGUUGACAAGAUAGGGUAUAAGAUUAACCCUUGAGACUUGGAAGUGGAUUCCGGAAUCCCCAGGAUAGGUGGCUGUGAGUAUGUGUGGUUCUCCUCGCUCGGCAGCGAAUGAUACUUGCAGGUAUGUGUAGUUCUCCUCGCUUGGCAAGUGAAUCAUGACUACGGGUAUGUGUGGUUCUCCUCGCCCGACAGUGAUUCGACUGGUAUGUGCGGUUCUCCUCCCCCGGUAAGCGACUUGUGGUCAUGGGUAUGUGUGGUUCUUCUCGCCUGGUGGAUGACCUAUAGUCGAGUGGAUUUAAGGCUAAAGUGCAUGUGAGACGUUCUUCACCUCAAGCCUGGACAGGAGCGGUAUUCCGCUGAUGAUUGACUCGAGGCUGAGUCAGGUGGCAUAGCUUGGCUAAGGUAAAUGAACCUUAGAAGUGGACUGUAGACAAUAUGGAUUACGAAAUAGUAAGUAGAAAUGGUAGAUUUACUUGUAUUGCAUUUAUGUUGCAUUAUAGCAUGUUGUGAGGCAUAAGCAUGUUAGUUGCUAGAUGAAUAAAUUUUAUAUGCUUACAUAUAUAUCUGUUGGACUAACAUGUUUGUGGUACCUCCUUUGGACCUGGUGGGUCGAGCUUUACCCUUAGGUGGCCAUGCCCACUAGGAACUAUAGGCAAUAGUUCUCACCCCACGUUUUUUGGGGUUUUUUUUUCAGGUCCGCAGGUGAGUGGCGCGAUGGCGCCAGGAAAGGGUGUAGCUUCAUAGAUAGCGCCCUACCACCGAGACCAGAGAUAGCAAUACCGUGAGUCGGUUUAACUUAGGGGUGUGGAAAUCAAAGAAUAAGAUUGUAAUAAUUUGCAAAAAGGUUGAUUGCAUUUGGAAGAAAACAAAAUGUAAUAUGUAUAAUGCAUGUAUGUGAAUUCUUGUAAUAGCGUAGUCGUUUAUGUUGUUGAUACUUUCCUUAUACAAUCGUUGUAUGAUCACUGUUCAUGUUUGGAACCACUUGUAUUGUACUGUUUGCGACGCCUAGGACGUACAGGAAAAACUCUGUCUGUUCGGCGGUCUGUUGGCGUGCCCGAACUGACCAAAGUGACGGUGUCGGGGCGUGACAGAUAAUAUGGUAUCAGAGCAUAAAAGGAGAAUAGAAAUGGUUUAGAAGGACCUAGGAGAUCCUAGGAUAGUAAAACAUAAAGAUUUAAGCUCGUGAGAGACGAGGACUUGUGACUUGCGGCGAAAGGUUAAUGGAUUGGGUUGUGUUGUAAACCUCUAAAAAGAAUGUUAGAGGUAGAUUCAAGGUGUGAUUUAUUCUCAACCGAGGGUGUUCAUGUUGGUUGCACACAACAUGAAACCGAGCGAUGAGAAUUGAUGCCCUUGCGUGACUUUCGCCUGAUUUUAGUCUGUGUUUGUGUUAAUCGUUUGUACUUGACCUAGAAGGUCGAGGAUUGACCGGAUUGUCAUGUUUCAGGAAGCGAUGGCGCCGCAUAGGCGAUCUUCAAGGAGAUUGGCGCGGGGAGGGCCAGGUGGGGUCCCUGAGCAAUUCGGAGUGGGUGGAGACCCGGCGCUCUGUGAGCAGUUGGGUGCGCUCAUGGGCGUAGUGCAGCGACAAGAGGAGCAGAUUAAGGAGCUCCAUGAGUUGUUGGCACGACAAGCAGAAACGACUUGAGCGGGACAGGAGCGGUUGGUGCCUCCAAUUGGUUCACCAAAUACGACUGAGAGGGUGGCUGCGGCGGCUGCGCCUGUAGUAGCGCGCCGUGUACCACCGCGUACUCCUCUAUUGGGUUCGGGUGCCAUGGCUCCUGGUUGUGCUAGAAUGGAGGCGGAGAGGGAGCGAGCUUUGGCAGCUCUCAUGACUUUCAAGAAAUUUAAUCCACCUACUUUCGACGGAGAGUUUGUGGAUCCGUGGGUCGUGGAGAUGUGGAUCGACUCCAUGGAAACUAUCUUUGAGGAUCUGUACACCUUAGAGCGGGACAAGGUGCACCUAGCCAUACAUUGUUUGGAAUAGUUGGCAAAGGUGUGGUGGAAAGGCCUCAAGUGGAAUAGAUCACCCAGUCUUCUUCUUGUAACUUGGGAAGAGUUUCGGGGAUUGGUGUUUUUCGCGUAUUUCCCUGAUAGUGAGAAAAGAGAGCUUCAGGAAAGGUUCAGGAAGCUACAGCAGGGAGACAGCACCGUGAGCAAAUAUGAGCGGGAAUUCUCCCGUAUCGUGAACUGUGUCCCGUAUGUGGUGCAGGAUGACAAGGACAAGGCCGAUUGCUUUGUGCGAAGACUUCGACCGGAAAUUUUCAAAGUUGUGCAUCCUUUCAAAUUGCAAACUUUUGUCGAGGUCUUGGAUCGGACCUUGUGGGUGGAGCAAGGUGAUGCCUUUAUGCGGGGGGAGCAUGAAUCUUUUGGGCGUGGGAGGGGGAUGAUGCGACUAUUAAGUGGUUCCAGUGGACAGCCGAGUACUAAGCGACACUCGAAGUCAUCCUCUACUCGAUCCUCGCCGGAAUGUGUUAUUUGCGGUGGUUCCCAUUAGGCUCGACGCUGUGUGCAGCGUGAGGGAAGAUGUAUUCGAUGUGGGCAACCGGGCCAUGUGCGAGAUGAAUGCCCGCUAGGGGAUAACCAGACCCUGACAUUGGCGACGACCUUAUUCUCUCCGAGGUAGCCUGCGGGUGUGCUAUCUACGGCAUGGUCUUGAGAGCGAGCGUUGAUGACGAGGCAACCGGAGGGUUUGCGGUGGGCGCCAAGUGGCCAUGGAUACGCGACCCAGGUUUAGGAGCUGACUGCUACUGACGACGUCGUGGCAGGUAUGAUUUAAUUCGGGUGUAAAUUUGGAGCAUUGCAUGCAUUUAUCAUGUGGUCGUUUGCUACUAUUUAUUUAUAAGUAUAGUAGAGACCAGGAUGUGGGUUAGUGUAGCUACCCUAGCAAGCAUGAGUUGUGGAUAGUGUGUCGCCCACUAGAGCAGAUAGGUGACUGGUCGAUGCCGGUGAGUUGCUGGUAGUGAGCCAGGGAUAGGGUUCAUGUAGAAAUGGAAAUGGUGGUACCUCGAAUUGAGGUAGGGAGCUAUGCUUGUGUAGUUGGUGUUCUUAGGCAAGAUUGCCUAGUGCUCGACAUGUCAUGGAAAGGCAUAGAAGCGUAGGACGCUCGAGUAUAGGUAUCCGUGGAGUGCGGAUUUGGUACAGCCGUGUGGGUGUGUUGGCAGUAGCACUUGAGUAUUGCUAGGUGUAAAGCAUGUCAUGGAUCACUCGUAGGGUUGGUGGCUCACACUAGAUGCUUAGGAGCCGGUGGAGGUUUGUGAGAUUCGGUAGAGCGUGUCGUGUGUGAUGACGGUAGCGGGUAUUGCUUGAGAACUGUAAGAUGCCGAACUUCUGAAGUUAUGAAGUUACGGUGGAAUGUGAUGUACCAGAUUUUAAUAUAAAAGUAGAAAUAAAUAAAAAUAGUGUAAGAUACUAUUUUUAUUGGACUUAGAGAAGUAAAAUAUAAAUUGAAAACGACUUGUGCUGAAAUCGGAACUGAAACAGAAGAUUUAGAACUUUCUAUAAGAAAUAGGGCUGAUAUUUUAGCAGAAAAUUCAUAGUGUCAGAAAAUUAUAAAAAUUGGAGAAUAUGUUGGAAUUAUUUUUAUGAGACUAAAUUUAAAGUUUCAUGUCAUUUUGACACCCGAAAAGUGAAAAAAAAAUAUGAUUGCUAUCUGCUAGAGAUUCUAGUCGCUACAGCUUUCGGUGACCCAAAAAUGGUCCAAACUGAAAAGUUAAGAUAUAUUUCUUUUAUUUAAGUUAAACUGAGACAGCUUGUCAAAUUUGAGCGCAAACUGACAUUUAGAAGGGCUUUGGCGAAAAGGAACAGAUUCUGAGCUGCUAAACUGAAAUUGUGUAUUGUUGAGAGGGGUUUUGUGCAAUUGUUUCAGCACCUAUUAGUGUGCGGUUCAUGGCUGAAUGCACACAACGCAUGGUGAGGGAACACACACACUUUCUCUCUCUCUCUUUAAGCUCUUUUUCUCUCUCUCUCUUCAAGGUGGGAAACAAGAGGGAGGAUUGGUGGAGAGGAAAGCUAGAAGGUGGAUCAUCUUCUUCAUCUUCUUCCUUGAGUUUGGAGCAAGCUUUUGAGGUAAGCUUGAUAUUCUCUAAUGGUAGAACUCUAGGGUUUGGGUUUUAAGCUCUAGAAUGGGUUUUAGUGGAAUCCUAGGAUGCUAAUGAGAUGAUUAUUGCAUGAAUCUAACGUUGUAUUAGGUGUUCUCGCAAUAGUGGCAACCUAGGGCUUCAAAGUGGGAUUUUUGUAAAUGUUUGGGUUUGAUCUAAAUUGAACCUAUGUAAACCUAAUUGCUAGGUAUUCUGACGCGCUGAUGAAGUCGGUUCGGCGAUCCGUCGAGCCUGCGCAAAGAUAUUGGCAAAAAGGAUGGUUGUAGCUUCGUUUUCGCCUGGAGGGCCGAGGUGAUGUCCUAAAAUCGCGAAAUUUGGAGUCUAGCGUCGUGACAUCACUAAAAGGUGGGUGGUGUCAUCCCGAAGCAGUUGGGCUUCCCUCUAUGUCCAUGUUACAUUAUUGAUCACAUUCUUGCAUAUUGGCAUUAUGCAUGAUAGGGUUGUUUGGAUAGUUGCAUUUCUAAUUCUUUGCAUGCUCCUUGGUAGUGUAGUAUUGUGGGCUUGACACUUAAACUUAGGAUGCAUGAGAAUAAUUGUGAUUGUGAUAUAGAAUCCUAUAGUGAUAAAGAUAAGUGAUGACUUGAUCUUAUGAUGAUGAAAACCAAUGACAUGUGAACUAGUGUAAUGGAAACAACUUAUAACAAGAACGAGUGGCAUGUAAAUUAGUGUGGUUGAGACACUUACAACAUAAUGAUGUAAACGAGUAGCAUUUGAACUUAGUGUAGUAGAACACUAUGGCACUUGAACAUAGUGAUAGAUGAAUUGCCCAAGUUAUGAUAUGUGCAUGUGAACUUAGUGUAGUAGAACACUAUAGCACUUGAACAUAGGGAUAGAUGAAUUUCCCAAAGUUAUGAUAUGUGCAUGUAAAUUGUUGUGUAGUUGAAACACUUGAACAUGGAUAUUGGGAUAGGUGGAUUCCCGAGUGAUUGUUAACCCUAGUUGAUAGGGUAUCCUCAAGUGGCGAGGAUUGGAUAAUACUCACAUUGUCUGUUUUGAGCUUUGGGUGGUCGCUCCACACAAGCCGUGCACUCCGGAGUUUGUCACACGAGGGGCAGAAGCUAGUUGUCCUGCAGGCGGUCUCGGGUGAGUCGAGCAGGUGCGACUCCUCACCUAUGGGAUUUGAGAUGUGAGUUAAGGGUGAACUGUCACGCCCUGGGACCCAGCGGAAGCCCGCCCGGCGCGUGCCCAGACCCACCAUAUGUCUACAACAUAUAAGGCGUCUAAAAACAACAAUAAUAAGAGCAAUAAUAAAAGACAUCUAGGAGUAUCAGAGCAUAGAAAAAGUCUAAUUGCUAACAACAAGGGAUAAAGUUCAAACUGUAAAUCCACUAAAUAAAACAUAAAGUAAAUACAAUAGGAAAUCCCAAAAAAAGCGCUAUGAGUAGAUAAAUAGGUGGUCUCUAUACAGGGUACAAAAACUCUCAAUCUCUCAACUACAAAAGAAAGAGUAAACCACCUAGGCAAGUAAGCUCCUCGCUAGCUAGCUACGCGAUCCCCUUGCCGCGAUCCCGUGCCUCCGCCGGUGCCGAAGGCUCUGAAAAGGAAACAUAGAAACAGGGGCGUGAGAACUAUCAAAAAUAGUUCCCAGUGGGCAAUUACUGACUUCAGUGAAUGCACCACAAGGCCCAAAGCUACAAAAGAGUUAGUUGACUAUAAAAGUAGAAAACGAAAGUAAGUAAAAUGUAAUUUACUACAUACAUGAUAUGGCUCUACUAUCCUUAAAAUAUAAGUUGAAAAACCAUACUGAAGUAAGAUGUCUCAACUAUCAUAAGUUCAGAAUGCGAAAAUAGUAAAGUUCUAUUUUUAAUUUAUCAAUGUCCAAAUAAUACUACUAUAUCAUCAUCUGUCCAUCAGUGUCAUAACAAUGCUCAAGUCGAUCUAAGAGACCCACCGAAGCUGUCUAUGCCUGAAUCACCGAGGCUCUGGGCGGUCCGAGCUAAUGGCCCUGGUUAGUAUCAUCCCACCCUAGGUGGCCUGGUCCCAGGCAAUCCCUCUCGCGUCCCAUAGUCUUGCACGGCGAACUAUGUAUGCCGCGAUGGGCUAUUCGCGGAGUGCGGCUUGUAGGAGCGCCCCACAAGCCAGUGCGAAUGAGCACAAUGGCAAGUAAUCAAACAUCUGUCGAAGUACCGAAGUCCUAUUCCAAUAACAUGGAAUACUAUCGCGUGUCAAAGGCCUAUCUUCUAUGUCAUCAUGUCUCUAACAUGGAAUAUGUAGCAAGAUAUUGUAGCCUAUCAAUAUGUCUCUAUUUGCAGUUUCAUAGUAUCUAGUUUCAAGGUGCCGCCUUUAUGACGACUCUUGCUCUCUAUGUCAAUGAACAUGGCAAUAUGUUCGAAGUACAUAUUCCAGUCAUGCAUCAUCAUAAGAAUGUAUUUUUUCAUUUGCAAAACAAGCCCCCCACGUUUCCGUAUCAUGCAUUUCUACUCAUUAGGCUCUACUAUUAGUGAAAAUUUUCAUAAAUACACAAGGCAUGCAUUUUAAGUGCUCUAAAUCAUGAUAAACUCCCAUUUAGCAUAGAAAGGAAUUAAAAUAUUUUACAACAAGUUAGAAAGAGCAUAGGGUCUUCGCCCUCUUUCCUCGCCCGAACCAAACGCACCGAUGCAACGAAACCUCCUCGUCUCCAAGAGGGUGUCCUCAUAGUCUCGCAGUAUCCUAGAGGUACAUCAGAACAUAGCGUCACACGAAGAAACAACCAUCAUAACUCAACAUUAAAGCUAAUCAAUAAUAAUGAGGAAAACUCACUCUAAAUGAAAAUAUCCUCUAUAAAGGCUCCAAUGAGGUAGGCUCAUCAUCAACUAAUGGAAAAAAGCACUCGUAAUCCAAUAAUCAUAGCUUCAAGCCUAGAUUCAAAUGCCAAAAUAAACCUAAAUCACUAAUCCUAGGUUUCAAUUCAUAAAGCCUCAAACAAUGAAUAAAAGGUGGAAUAUGUUCUAACCUCUUUGGAACGCCCAAUUUAGCUCCAAUCCAGUGGGUGUGAAGACUCCUCAGCAACAAGUCCUCUCCAAGCUCUAAGCAUCACAAUGAGUGGAUGAAGCACAAUGAUGAAAAAGAGAAGAGAAACCCAAAUAAAAAAAGCAAAGGGGUAAAAACUCAAGGAAAGGGAGAGAGAGCUCCUCAUCCCCUCUCUCUCAGGUCCAGCACAAAAGAAGCCCUAAGGGCUAGGUCUGUUAUAGAAAGCCAAAUUCGCGAAAACCGCCUGCAGUUCAAACUGGGCAUCGAAUCUGCCUCCUUAUGUAUCCGGGUCCGGGUCUUGUACCGUCAAGGCGACGAAUGCAAACAGGCCGAGGCUCGGUUGGCUCGUGCGGCUCUGUAUGGUACACACCGAUGCUGUAACCGUACACCAUCACCCUUGUAGCGCGUACAAGUCAGUAUUGGAUCUGGGGUUCCGUACAAGACCCUGCUGCAGGCUACGGGCCGAGAGCUGUCAAAUUCCGAUUUUUGAAUUUUGGUGCAAGUCUCAUUUCGAACAUCCUAGGAUGCGUGCGGGGAGUCGGAACACUAUCAAGACUCCAAAAACUGUGGACGUCUCGCACGACACAGAUAAGACACUCGAAUCUUGCAAUUUGCAUAAGAUCUCAGUAAUUACAUUCACUCCUCCUAAAAGAAGUUUGUCCGCCGGGAAACUCGAAGCAAAAGCUUACCCUCAGGAUCCAUCUGAAUAAGAUGGGAUAGCGCUCCUGCACGCGACUCUCUAGAUCUGAACGUGGCUCCGCUCCCCGGUGGUUCUCCAAAGGGCUCAGUAUAGGAUAUCCGUGUGAUUCCGCACACUUUUCCCUCGGCGAGCCCAGAAAUCUUCACUGGUUUGCUCCUGAACUUCUCAAAUCUCACGCAGUGCCAUGUACACGCAUCCAAAACAUGAGCUGGAUCAUGAAAUGUACCUGAAGGAAGCCGUAUAUCAUGAAAGACUUGUGUCACACCCGAUAGGUUCGGUGUAAACAAGUCGAAUACCUACGGACUAUUCACGCCCAAGAUCUCAUACGGUCCAAUGAAACGGGGGCUCAACUUUCUCACGAAUCCGAAUCUCUUGAUUCCUCUAGUCGGCGGACAUUCAAGAACAUGGGUCUCCCAAUUGAACUCCAUCUCGCGUCGUCGAUCCGGCGUAGACUCUUUCUGUUAGCUCUGCGUCUGGUAAAAGUGGCUCCCGAGCAUUUCGAACCUUAUCCUCGCUUCCUGGACACAUCAGGGCCUAGAGCCAAACUCUCUGCGACUUCACUCGCAAUGAAGUGAGCGAUGCUUUGAGGCACGGUCCGUCAAUCAGGCCUUUGAAGGGCGCCAUAUGAUGCUUGACUUGAUAAUCUAUGUUAUAAGCAAACUCCGCAUAGUAGAUGCUGGCACCAUGCCUCCUGGAAGUCUAUCACACAUCCCCGAAGCAUUCCUCUAAGGUGAUGAAUAGUGCGUUCUGAUGCGCCAUGCACUCUGCGGUGGAAUGCAGUACUGAAUCAGUCGGUGCCUAAGCGUCUGUAGACUCCUCCAAAAGCUUGAGACACAAACCGUCGUGUCCAAUCAAGAUACAUCGAUGUAGGACUCCAGAUCGCACAAUCUCGUCAAAUGGUAACAAUUGUGGGCUCUGUCCGGUCCAGGUGAAUUCCCAAAAACACACCGGGAUGAAUAGGUAUUAAGUGCCGAGUUCGUGCAACGUAAUUCCUAUUCACCUGAAUACGUUCAUGCCGCCGCUGAGACGGUGGAAUCCUGUCAGCAAAAUCCAUGGUGAUUGCUUCCUCCACUUCCACCAGGAAUAGGCAAACUCUGAAGUUUUGCCCGGGGAACUCGUGUCAGCCUUUAACUUAGUGGCAAGUUAAGCAUACUAGCGACAAAACUGCAAACAUCCUUUUCAUCCCAGCUCACUCAAUAGAGCAACUUAAAUCCUUAUACAUUUGUGUCCCCCGAUGUAUAAGAUAGGCGCCCGUGCGCUUCUUGAAGAAAUCCUCUUAAUCCCGAAUCAGCAGGUACCAAAUCCGCAGCGCUCAAUCCUUUGUAUCCAAUAGGAAGUCGGCCGGUGCAACCAUCAAACCAUUUAACCUCGAAUCUUUGCAACUCACAUAGGAAGCUUGCUUUUCUUUAAUUCUAACUCCAACAAGGUAGGUUGCACCAAUGUCAUCAACUCAAAGGUGAUUUCGCGAUCAAAACUAUCCAACUGCAACCGUUCAUCUGCUCGAGUUUCAACUGCAGGUUGAGUCCAACAUCGCAUCGCUAAGUUUUUCAUCGAAUUCUACUUAGGGAUCAGCCCGCUACGUUAUAGUCUUGCCGGGUGGUAAAGGAUCGUCAAUCAUAAUCAUUAGUAGCUCCAACGCAUCUGCGCUGCAUCAGUUCAACCCUUCUGAGUAAACAGUACUUUAAGCUUCUUGGUGAUCCGUGAUACUUACACCGUUCGCACACAUAAGAUAGUCGCCAUAAGCUUUCAAAUGCGCACACUACCCGCAAUAUCCAAAUAUCGUCGAUAGUUUUUAUCAUAGCCUUUAGUUUGGCGAGAGAGACACGGAUCACUCUGCCAUUCUCAUCAAUACACAGCCCAAUCCCUUAAGUGAGAGGCAUCGCUAUAAAGCACAUACCCGUGGCUACAGCAACUGUUAGGGUCAAGAUCGGGGGGUAUCAACCGUUUGUUCACCAUCUUGAACUCGCUCGCCGCAUCAUUAAAUGAACUUAACACCUUCUAUGGCGUGAGCCUCGGAGGGCAGUAAUUCUGCUUAGCAACCCUCUAUACAAAUGCGGUAGUCCGCGGCCAUCCAAGGAAGCUCCGUAUCUCCGUAGCCUCGUCGUCUCGGCCAUGCUUGUUUUCGAUCUUCUUGGUCACUGGUAUACCUGAUCCUAAAUAAAGUGUCCAGGAAGCUACCUCUCGAAGCCAAAUUCACACUUCUUCAACUUGGCAUAAAGCUCAUCUUAUCACCGAAGUACUUGGAGCACGAUCCUCAGUGUUCCUCGUGAUCCACAUGUUCGAGAUUAGACCAAAAUAUCGUCGUGACACUACGCCGAACCUGUCUAGAUAAGGCUUGAAAACACGUCAUUAGAUCCAUAAAGCUCGGGGCAUUAGUUAAGCCCAAAUGGUAAUAACUGUGACUCAUAGUGUCAUACCGUGUUCUAAAAGCGUCUUCGAUACCUGGGUUUAAUCUCAAUGGUGAUAUCCGCUGGACAGCAAGUCGAUCUUGAAUAACAACGCAUGAUCCCCUUAAUCUGAUCAACAAGUCGUCCGUUCUUGGCAACGGAUACUUGAUUCUUAGAUCCGUGCCGUUAUUUAAGUUCACGAUAUCAGCACAAAGGCGAUGAUCCGUGCCUUCUUUUUGAUCAGAACAAAAAUGUGCCCCCAAGGUGACACACCGUCGAAUGAACCUUUUUGUCCAACAAAUUCUGCAAUGUGCCGCUCAGCUCCCUCAGCUCUGCAGUGGCCAUCCUAUAGGAGUGCCUUUGAGAUUGGGGUAGUCCCAAGGGCGAGAUCUACGACAACAUCAAUCUCCCUAUCAGGAUGGCAUAACCCGUAGCUCACUGGAAACACAUCACUGAACUCGCCGCACCACCGGGAUAUCUCAUCUAGGGUGUAUCUAUCGCCCUCAGCACAACACUAAGGCCAAAUAGAUAACAACCUCUACUAAUGCAGUGCUUAGCUCUGAGAACGGCGAUCGUCAUCGAAACAGCGACAUUCGCAUCGCACGAAUACCUGUCUUGCCAGGUUUCUAAAAUAUAACCGUGCGAUUUUACAAUCAAUCCGUGAUACUACUUGUCAAUCAUCGCAUCCCAAAACCAGCAUCAAAAUCUCCCAGCUUGCGCAAAGAUAGCAAUCGCGGGCAUGAUCAAUCUCCUACCCAAUAGGGAACUGGGGUAUACUCUCUAGUAUUCCAAGACAUUGGUCGGGUAAUACACAUGCGUAUGACCAAGGAACAAGGGAAUGCCAUGCAUACUCGGUCAAUCACCGACAUCUAUGAAUGAAUGCGAUGCACCGGUAUCAAUAAAGCACGAAACUUAAAACCAUUCAAGUAAAUGAUACUGAAAACACACAUCCUCCGCUGUGCGCCUCCUCGGCCUGAGGCAUAAGUAGCCCCUCGGGGCCUGUUCGAGAUCCUCGCUCUGGGUCUGGAACGAUGCCGCGCAGGCUGGUACUGUGUCGAUGGAUCCUGGUAGCGUGUAGAACCGCUGCCGGAUGCAGUGCGACGGUGUAGGUGAAGGAACCCUCGGCCAGUCGGUACCACGUGCUCCUGGCCACACUGGAAACACUGCCCAGGCGCCGCUGUGGACAUCUGGGGUGGUAAAUGGACCACGCAGAUCACACAUGGGGAAGCGCUGGCGCCGAUGCGAUCCUCCUCAGCGGUGCUGUCUGAGCCGCGUCCGGUCUGGCUCCUGCGAUCUUCGGCGGCCUCUAAGUGCGUCUGGCUCGCACCUCAGCCAGCAGGCCCUCUUGGCCUUACCUUGUCCCUAGCACAUCGCUGCUCUGCCUUUGCCCGCCGCUCUCCACAUGACGCCGCGAUGCCACCACCUCCCCGGUAAGGGUUGGAGGUUUAGAGGAUUGCAUCAAACGGAAGAUGAUCGUCGCAACACUCGGUCCGAAAUGCGGGCCUUCGCUCCUCCCGUGUCCCCCGCACACGAAGGACACGCAAUUGCAGAAGCAAAAAUCCCUCUCGUAAUCGGCUAACAGGUCCGGCUGCCUGGCGCAAGUUGCGCAAGAUCCUGCUCCUCUUCCUCAUUGAACGCUGGUCGGACAGUAUCGCGCGAGAAGUUGCUUGAACCUGGUCAGUGAUAGAUGCCAAGUCAGUGCUGGUGUGCUCCUGGAAUCCAACCACCAGCGAGCCUCGCGUCCAGUGUGAAUGCGAGCAAACUGCGAUCCAUCUCUCGCAGAAGAAGUGUCUCGGAAGGCGUUUCUCUCCAUGUCAUCAAACAUGUCUUCCACGAUCCUAGUGUCGAGCUCUUCUCCAGCCGUCGAACGACUCGGCGGCCUGCAUCCUGAACCUGUUGAGGCGGCUUCCAUACAUCUAUCUCGCUCCGUCCCCCUCACCAAGUAGGGAACGCCCACCCCGCCCUGCUCCAACCGGGGCCUCUCUGCAACAGGUGUCAACCUAAAACUCCUCCUGUGGUACGGCGCAGGCGGCACGUCGAGAACUGGGCGCGUGAGGACGGCUCUCCGGUGCAAACGUCACGACUGUUCUGGCGUGUAGGGACCUGAGUCCUCCUAGUAAUCGCGUCUUGCUGCAACAGUAUGUGUCUUCCAGACGCUUCAUCCGCGCCUCCUGUCGGCGCGCCGCUAGCUGCUGUCGGGCCCCUCUGCCGCUGCGUGCCAAAUGUCGGUGAGGCCCAAGCUGCCCUCAACUCGCGGGACCUCGCUUGAUCUGGAGGUCGCGGAGGUUCAACUCCUCAAGUUCGGCCGAUUGUCCGCUCGGCAGAUUGGGCUAGCGUGAGUAAUCGCAUCGUCAUAUAAAGCAUCAAAGGCAAUGUUAAAAUAACUCAGCUAAUCGCAUCCCCGGCACUCAAAAGAAAAGCCCGCAAUAUCAUAGCGAAAGUAGGAAGUGUUUAUCCACAUCAACUCAUCCCGAUGUAGUUUGGCCGCCAACGUAACCCCCGCAGAAGUUAGAAGCCAAACACUUCCAAUCAACUCUUAACUUUUGAGAUGUAACACAAUACCAUCAUGAUCUUUCGCUCACAACGUCAAUAGACGCUCGUCUCUCACGAGCUAUUCCUAUAGUCCCAACGGCCUACGGUUUGCUAGUCCCCUAAGACUCUAACCCUAGGCUAUGAUCCAAUUAUCUGUCACCGCCUGGACCAGCGGAAGCCCGCCCGCGCGUGCCCAGACCCCCAAUGUCUACAACAUAUAAGAGCGUCUAAAAACAACAAUAAUAAAGCAAUAAUAAAAGACAUCUAGGAGUAUAAGAGCAUAGAAAAGUCUUAAUUGCUAACAACAAGGGAUAAAGUUCAACUGUAAAUCCACUAAAUAAAAUAAAAGUAAAUACAAUAGGAAAUCCAAAAACAGCUAUGAGUAGAUAAUAGGUGGUCUCUAUACAGGGUACAAAACUCUCAUCUCUCAACUACAAAGAAGAGUAAACACCUAGGCAAGUAAGCUCCUCGCUAGCUAGCUACGCGAUCCCUUGCCGCGAUCGCCGUGCUCCGCCGGUGCCGAAGCUCUGAAAAGGAAACAUAAGAACAUGGGGCGUGAGAACUACAAAAUAAGUUCCCGUGGGCAAUUACUGACUUCAGUGAAUGCCACCAGGCCAAAGCUACAAAAGAGGUUUGAUAUAAAUGUAGAAAGGCGAAAGUAAGUAAAAUGUAACUUACUAACAUGAAUAUCCUCUACUUAGAACUAAAUGCAUAAGUAUGAAAACAUACAUGAAGUAAAAGUCUCCAACUAUCAUAAUGUUCACAUGCGAAAUAGUAAAGUUCUAUUGUUAUAUUCUAGUCAAUGUCCAAAAAAACUCAAAUCAAUCAUCUCUGUCCACAUGUCAUAACGAAUGCUCAAGUCGAUCUAAGAGACCACCGAAGGCUGUCUAUGGCCCUGAGACCCACCGAAGGCUGUCUGGCCGGUCCGAGCUUAAUGGCCCGUGGUAGUCAUCAUCCCACCCUAGGCAUGAGCCUGUCCCACGGAAUCACUUCGGCGCCAAUCUCGCACGGCGAAAUAGUGUAUCGCGCAUGGCUAUCUCCGGAGUGCGCUUGUAGGAGGCGACCGCUCAAGCAUGUUGCGAAUGAGCACAAUGGCAAGUUAAUCAAACGAUCUGUCGCAAGUAAAAGUCCUUCAUGUCCAAUAACAUGGAAUAUAUCGAGUGUCCCAAAGCCUAUCUCUAUGUCAUCAUGUCUCUAACAUGGAAAAUAGCAGAUAUUAUGUGGCCUAUAAUAUAUGUCUCUAUGUUGGCUGUUCAUAGUUUAACUAGUUUCAAGUGCCCUUUAUCACUCUUGCUCUCUAUGUCCAACAUGGAACUAUGUUCAAGGUACAUAUUCAAGUCAUCAAUCAUCAUAAGAGAUGUAUUUUCAUUUGCAAAACAAGCACAUUUUCCCGUAUGCAUGCAUCUACUCAUGUAGCUCUACUAUACUAGUAAAAUUUUCAUAAUACACAUAAGCAUGCAUUUUAAAGUGCUUCUAAAAUUCAUAUAAAUCCAUUUAGCAUAGAAAUGAACUUAAAAUAUUUUACAACAAGUAGAAAAGAGAUAGGGGUCAUUUCGCCCAUUUCCCCGAAGCCAAACCCACCGAUGGCAACGAAACCUCCUCGUGCGCUCCAACGAGGGUGUCCUCUAGCUCCUAUAGUCCUAGAGACAAGAACAUGCGUCACACGAACGAAACGAACAUCACUAUUAGGUCAACUUAAGCUAAUCAAAUCAUAAGGCUGAUGGAAAACUCACCUCUAAUGCAAAAUCUUCCUCUAAAGAGUCAAAUGAAGCUAGGGCUCAUCCAAUCCAACCUAAUGGAAGCUCUAAUUCCAAUAAUCUAGCCUUCAAAAGCCCUAGAUUCAGAUAAUGCCCAAAAUAAACCCUAAUAUCACAAUCGCUAGGUUUCAAUCAAUCAAGCCUUGAAAAACAUGAAUCAAAAGUGGAAUCAUGUUUCUAACCUCUUGAAGCCCAAACUUCGCUGUACAUCAAGUGGUGGGAGAUCCUCAGCGCACAAAGCUCCUCAUCCUAAGCUUAAGCAGAUCAACAAUGGUGAGAAGCCACCAAGACAUGCAAAGAGAAGAGAAAACCCAAAUAAAACAAGCAAGGGGGUAAAAUGCAAGAAGGGAGAGAGACUCUCUCAGCUCUCUCCUCAGCGUCCAGCCAACAAGAAGCCCUAAGGGGCGUGAGUGCUGUUAUAGAAAGCCACAAUCGAAGAAAACCCCUGCAAGUUCAAACUGCAUGAAUCUGGCUGCCUUGUACUGGUACGGGUUCUUGCUACCGGUACUAGCGGACGAAAAUGCAAACCGAAGGCUCGGGUUCUCGUCUGCGGCUCCUGUACGGCGGUACAAGCCGAUGGCUGUACCGGUACAAUCAUAGCCCUUGUAACCGGUACCAAGGUAGUCUUGUUCCGGUACAGCUGCUGCAGGCUACCCGAGCUGUUCCCAAAAUGUCCGAUUUUGAAUUUCUGGUGCCAAGUCUUACUCCAACAUCCUCGGAGCGGCCUGGCGGGGUCGAACACUAUCAUGACCUCCAAAAACUGUGUUGAACCGCUCCCACAGAUAACACACCGAAUUGGCAAUUUGCUAAAUACCAGUAUAUUACAUGAAGCGCUUUGGGUUAGCUAAGUGAUGGGAACUUAUGAAUGGCUUUAUUUCUUGGCAUAGUAGGCACGAUAGCCGACUCAUUUAACUAUAAUAGUUUUCAUCUGCAUUGCAUUACAAGUGGAUUAAGGCAUAGCAUAGUAGUAUACUCUGUAAUUUUCUUACUAUGACAGUUGCUUUCAUAUCUUCUUCUAUCUAUCUAUCAUCUAUCUAUCUAUCGCUUCUACCUGCUUAGACCAUAGUGGAGAUUCGCGAGUCGGCAGCGAACGGAGCUGGCACUAUGGACAAUAGUUCUCACGCCACUUUGUUGGCGGAUCGAGUUCGAGUGCUGCCAGGCAGGAUCCGGAGGUAAGAGGCAUAGCGCGCCUAGUAGUUAGGUGCUUUCCUUAUGCAUUAGAGCACCCUAUGUCAUAGUAUUGAAUGAUGUAUAGGUGGUGAGAUGCUUUUGGAGAGUUGUUGAUGAUCUUGUAGAACCUUAUGUUUAUAUUUUGGAAGUUGGAAAUGUAACUCAAAGAUGUAAAUGUCGAAUGUGAUGUAAUAGCUAGAACUAUCUCUCUCUUUUGUUCACUUGUAUGUCUACUUGUGCCUUGCUCUUGCUCGUUUAGCACUUAUGGUGCUUGUAUCAUCACUUGCUUGAUCAUGUAUGUAUGUUAAGUUUUCCUGGGCACUUCUUUGUACAUGAUCUCGUUGCUUUAGCCUUGGGCGGACAGGGGAGGUGCUAUCUGUUAGACGUCUGUUUGAUGUGCCCUAACCAACCAAACUGGCGGUCUCGGGGCGUGACAAGAACGAUCCGUGCCCGGACCACUUAUGGACUGCGGAGCUUGGGGCCAUAUGGACAGGCGCAGUCAGCUGUGUGUGACAGCGGCCCGGUACCUUCGGGUAGGGCACAGAGGUUUUGGUCGGGGUGGUAGUCCAAGCUUGGACCCGGGAACGUGAAAUGCCACUGUAAGGAAGUGAAUUCUCGAAAUGCGAGAGUUGAAUUUUGAUUAGAAUCGACCGAUUGUCGGUUGGGUAUGCUUCGGAAGGGUCGAAGGCGUCAAAAUCACAGUAAGUGCAUUGAGGAGGGCCUCGGAGAGUAAGCUGGUGUGAUUCUGCACAAUUGCAGAAUUUGCUCUCGGGGACCAGUCCCUGGCGGGAGGGAUCGGUUCCUGUACGCAUGGUGAGUGGCAGAAAAAUGCUACACACGAAUUUUGCUCUCGGGGUUCGGUCCCUCAGAGGGGGAGGGGGACCGGUCCCCGUACGCGAAAAAUGGACAGAAAAGCUCUGCCCGCAAAGUUUGCUCUCGGGGACCGGUCCCUUUGAGGGAAGACCGGUCCCUAUACCCGAAAAUGCCCGAAGAUGGGCUGUGUCAUGUUUGGAGAGUUGAAGGGCUUAAUUGCAAAGUUGCCAAGUAGGGAUUAAAAGAGAGGCAUGUGCGGCUCUCUCUUUCACUCUCCCUCACAUUGGUGACCUAAACACUUUCCCUCCCUCUCUUUUGAGCUCUCACUCUUCUCUCUCUCUUCAAGGGUGGAAAUAAGAGAGGGAUUGGUGGAGAAGCAAGCUUGGAAGAAGACCAUUACCAUCCUCAUCAUCUUCUUCACCUUGGAGGAGCUUGUUUAAGGUAGGCUUCUAGAGCUCUAAUGGUAGAUCUCUAAGGUUGAGUUUUUUGGCUCUAGAAAUGGUUUGGUUGGAACCCUAGGAUGCUAAUUAGAUGGUAUUUGCCUAAACCAUGAAUGGAUUUGGUGUAUUUUGCAAUAGAUGCAAACUAGGGUUUCCAAAUGGGAAUUUUGUAAUGCUAAGGGUUUGAUCUCAAUUGGUCAUAUGUUAACCUAAUUGUUAGGUGUUUAAGCGCAUUGGUGAAGACGGUUCGACAAUUCGUCGAGUCGGUGUAGAGAUAUCGGCAAAAGGGACCAUACGAGCUUUGUUUCCGCCUGGGAGCCCGAAUCGACGUCAUAACAUCGCCGAAGAGUGUUCCUAGAGUCGUGACAACGCCAAGAGGUGGGUGGUGUCAUCCCGAAGCAGUUGAGCUGCUUCCUAUGUCUAAGUUAUAUAUGUUGAUCAUACUUUGCAUGUGAACCUUGUGCAUGAUAGGGUAUUUUUAUGGUUGCAUUUACUAAUCUUGCAUGGUCCUUUGUAGUGUAGCAUAGUAGACUUGACACGUGAACUUAGGGUGAAUGAGAAUGAGCUAUUGUAUCAUAGAACCCUAUAGAUGAAAAGAUAAGUGAUAACUUGAUCUUGCAUUGAGGGAAGCAAUGACAUACGAGCUAGUGUACUCGAGAUUUCCUUAUCAUGACGAGUGGCAUGUAAACCAAGUGAAAGACUUGACGAGUGGCAUUAGAACUUAGUGUACAAGAACACUUUUGGCAUAUUGACUUAGGGAAUGGAUGAGUUUCCUUAUUUGACACAUUGCAUGAGAUCGGUGUGACAUUGAAGACCCUAGUUGACAGGGUAUCCUCAGUUGACGAGGAUUGGAUCAUACUCACAUAGUAUGUUUUAGGGUUGGUCGCUCCACCCGUUAGUGCACUUCGGAGGUGGUCACACAGAGGACAGACGUAGUUGUCCGCAGACGGUCCCGGGUGUGUUGACAGGGUUCUCACCUAGGGGAUUAGAGAUGUGAAUCGAGGGCGAACCUUCAGGUUAGCCAAGGAUUGGGUAUUGAACUUAUGAGAGUUAUGCACAUUGAGCAUAUUGAGCAUAGUAGAGUUGCAUUCAUGCUUGAUAGAGAUGUAGUAGCAUGUUAGUGAUUACAUUGCUAUGUUGUUUACUCAUGUUUUCCAGGCAUAGUAGCAUAGUGCAAUUCCUUUAUUAUGCAUAGUUUCAGCUUCAGAUAUCUAUCUAUCUAUCUGCUUAUGCCUGCUUAGACCUAGUGGGGAGAUCGGCAGAGUCGGCGGCCGAACCCACUGGAAACUAUGGACAAUAGUUCUCACCCCACUUUGUUGCAGGGCCGAGUUCGAGCACUCCUGGCGAGGAUCGUGGUAAGGGCAUAGCGCCCUAGCUUAGUUAGCAGCUUCCAUUUGCAUUAGAGCACCUGUGUACCUAUGAGAUGUCGAUGUAUCUAUUGGAGAGUUGCAUGUAUUUUGGGUUUAUACUAGUUACGAGAUGAACUUGGAUGUAUAUAUUCAUUUUGGGAGUUGUAAAUGUAAACUCGAUGUGAAUUGAUAGUUGAAUGUGAUGUAAUAGUUAGAAUUCUCUCUUUGUUCACUUGUAUGAUUACUUGUGUCUUGCUUACUUGUAUAGCACUUGUGGUGCUUCUCGUUGAAUCAUGUAUGUUUUUGAGUUAUUCCUGGGCUACUCUUGUACAUGAUUGUUGAUGUUUUGGCCUUAGGCGGAUAGGGGAGGUGCUGUUCGUUCGGCGUUUGUUCGACGUGCCCGAACCGGCCAAAUUGGUAGCGGUCGCGGGGCGUGACAGCCACGUGUUGGAUCGUAUGAUCGAUGUUACACCGAGAGUGCAGUGGACCCAACCCGAGGACUUAUAGUAGUUUGGGGUCUUGGUUGCUCCUGGUUGGAGUGGGUGCGAAUUCUCAAGUGAGAAUUUCGCCCAAUGAUGAUUAGGUCUACGCUUGUGAGCGAGAGACGUCACGCGUGUUGAGACAGGUUUAGGCGGUAGGCCUACGUAGGAUUAGUGGCCUAUGGUUCACCUAUGGAAGCCGAGGUAAGCGAUUUGGCGGGUAGCCUUAUCGAGGAAUUUGGCUGGGAUUCAUGAACAAGGUGUUCGUGUGAACUCGUUGUGAGAGUAGUUUAAUGUUGACCGUGGCAUAUGGUAUCGAGAGAUGAAGUGUUCUCUAUGAGACACAAGGAUAGUGGAAAGCCACGUGAGAGUCUAGGGACAGUGCUCUUGAGUGAACCAGAAAUUUGAGAUGUGCCGAAGUGGGCCAUCUCGCGGUAGAGCUAAAAGUCCAUGUGGAAUUGAAGCACUCGCGAUUAAGUGAUGCACCCGUGAAAUUGCUUUUAAGCAAUGCUGGUGAUCGAAUCGGAGUGUGUUCCCUGAGGGGAUGGUGAAUGCGUGGAAGAGUCAUACUUGGUAAUGUAGACUCUGGAUGGCCAGAGUGGUGGAGUGCCACUCUGUGGACUUUUGGGUGAUUCGAGGAGGUCUACUGUAUGUAUUGUGUAGUGGUGGUGGACCAUACGACUAGUUGGUACAUUCUUGUUAGAUCCACACCACGAGGAUGACGGGUAGUCCUGAUCUCAAAGAAAAGUGGUAUCCGGUUGUAACACACUGGACCUUUGCAAAUUGCGAGGUUCGAGUGUUUGGAUGUGUUUCGAGCUUUUCCACACUUGGUGGAGGGUCGUAGAAUGUUUUCCGACCUAAAAAGUUCGAAAACCUGAGUUUUGGUUUAGUCCUGAGAGUUUUUACUCUCGGGGNAUGAAGAUUAAUGACCUACUAUUUUUGAUAUCGUAGAUGUACAUCACCAUGACAUCGUUUAUACUUGAGUUUAGUAGUUUAGCAUUUUAAUUAUGCCUUUAUAUCGCAGUCAUUAUUACUACUAUUAUUGUACUUACCCUUUUCUUUUGGGGCCUAGUGGUGCAUAGAGCUGAGGUCAGUAAUUGUCCACUGGGAACUAUAAAUUAUAGUUCUCACGCCCUCUUUUUCUCGAUGUUUUUCAGAGCCUUCCACGCAGGGUGAGGCCAGGGAUCGCGGGAAGGGAGUUGCUUCGAGCUAGCUUCCUUCGAGGAUGAGUUGUCAGGUGGUGUACCUCUCGAUAUUUACUUGUCUUGCCGAGAGGUUGAGGGUUUUGCCAGUGUACUAGAGACCACCAUUUUUGUAUUAGAGACAGAUAUCGUACUACUUAUGAUUUCUUUUAUUGUCUAGCUUUACUUUGGUGUAGAUGUUAGAACUUUACUCGCUCUGAUAUCAUUAGUUGCUAGUUAUUUCACUUUCUUUAUUUGUUCUAUUACUUGCUUUUAUUUUCGCUUUUAUUCUAGACGCCUUAUAUGUGUAGACAUAUGGCGGGUCUGGGCACGCUACCGGGAGGGCCUCCGCCAGUCUCGGGGCGUGACACCGGUGGCAUUCGUGAGAUAAGUUCUUCGUGAGCCGGAUAGUGAGAAGUAUUGGAGCGUAUGGAGUCGUCAAAUACCGACAUGCACAGCCACCGAGAAUGACGGAGACCGCAAUGCACUUUAUGUGUUGCACCUUGCAAACGUAUAUGCGUUUGAUCUCACAUCCUCCGUUGUGGACCUUUUGGAUCAUUCCAAUGAACGUAAGGCCACUCCGGAGUGGGAAAGUGUAUUGAUGCCCUCAAUUGCUCCGAGAGUUGAAUUGAGGUGUGGUUUGAGUUUCGCGGACGAAAUUUUUUUUAAGGGGCAGAGAAAUUUUAUAUACCGAACUCCUACAAUUAUAAAGUUUUGGUGGGAACUAGCUCGAAAGGUUGUUAGAAUAGUUCCGGUGAGAUUCGGGGAGCAUUCGAGUGUUUUCGGUGCGAGUUAGGCAUGGAAACAGAACUCGAAAAACUAUUGUAAGGAAGUGAAUUCUCAAAAUACAAGAGUUGGAUUUCGGUUAGAAUCGACUGAUUGUCGAUUUGGUAUGCUUCGGAAAAGCCGAAGGCAUCAAAAUGGCCAAAGGUGCAUUGGGAUGGAGUCUGCGAGAGCAAAUGAUGUGAAAAACCUGCACUUGGCAGAUUUGCUCUCGGGGACCGGUCCCUGGCGGGAGGGAUCGGUUCCCGAACAUGGUCUGCGUGGGUUUGCUCUCGGAGAUCGGUCCCUGGCAGGGAGAGACCGGUCCCAUCGGCAUGGUGGUUGCGGCCACGCGUGAUGCAACCGGUCCCCGGGCCAGAGGGACCGGUUCCCGAACGCGUAGAUUUGGGGAGGUCAUGAGGGACCGGUCCCUGGUAGGGAGAGACUGGUCCCCGUACCCCGAAAAUGCCCAGAAUAGGCUGUCACAUGAUGGCAAAGUUGAGGGGGUUUAGUGCAUUUAUUACAUGAGUUAGGGGAUAUAGAGGUGGGGGAGCUCUCUCUUUCUCAUUCUCCUAACCAUAAACAUCCCUCUCUCUCUCUAGAGCUCUCUCUCUCUCAAGGAAGGAGAAGGAGAAGGAGUAGUAGAAGGAGAAGAAGAUCAAGAAUAGGAUCAUCAUCAUCUUCUUCUUCUUCCUCUUAGGCUUGGAGGCUUGGAAGGAGAAGGCUUUGGAGGUAAGCUCCAAAACCCUUUAAUGGUAUAUCUUUAGGGUAUAGAUUUUAGACUCUAGAAAUGGUUUUGUUGGAACUCUAGUAUGUCUAGUAGAUGUUCCAGGCUUGAAUCGAGGGUUAGUGCGGCACGUUGCGCCGUAGUUGCGAGCUAGGGCUCCGUGAGGAUUUUUGUGAAAAGUUAGGGUUUGAUCUCGAUUAACCCUAUGUAAAUGUGAUUGUUAGGCCUACGAUUCCAUCAGCGCAGUCGGUUUGCUGAUUCGCCGAGCGAGCGCAGAGUUAUUGGCAAAAAGGAUCUUCUGACAUUCGUUUCCGCCUGGAGGGCCGAGGCGGCGUCCGUAAACCGCGGGAUUGGAUUCCGAGUAUCGUAACAAGAAACCGAAGACCUUUAAUUUCCGGAUCGCGAAUCGGAGGUCGUUCGAUGGUUGCGCGUGAAUUGGGUCGAGCCGAGCGGCGUGCGCCGCGGGAGACCGAUUGCGAGUGGCGACGAGCAAUCGGAAGCUAUAGAGGGUGGGUGGUGACUAUCCCGAAGCAGUUGAACUACUCCCUAUAUCUAAGUAUUAUUGUUGAUCGAAUUGCAUAUUGUGCAUGAUACAUUAUAAGGUGCAUGAUUAGUUGAUACAUGUUCUUGUAUGCUAGGGGUAGUAUGAUGUUGUUUGCUUAACACUUGAGCCUAGUGUGCAUGGGAUUGAGAGAUGUUGAUUAGUAACCCUAUAAUGAGAUGAUACAUAACGGAAUGGAACCUAGGUAAAUGAUAACCUAGUGAUUAUGUAUAAGUAGUG
rnacentral:lncRNA from 1 species